AACGAACGCUGGCGGCAUGCCUAACACAUGCAAGUCGAACGAGACCUUCGGGUCUAGUGGCGCACGGGUGCGUAACGCGUGGGAACCUGCCCUUAGGUUCGGAAUAACUCCCCGAAAGGGGUGCUAAUACCGGAUAAUGUCUUCGGACCAAAGAUUUAUCGCCUUUGGAUGGGCCCGCGUUUGAUUAGCUAGUUGGUAGGGUAAAAGCCUACCAAGGCGGAGAUCCAGAGCUGGUCUGAGAGGAUGAUCAGCCACACUGGGACGGAGACACGGCCCAGACUCCUACGGGAGGCAGGAGUGGGGAAUAUUGGACUAUGGGCGAAAGCCUGAGCCAGCAAUGCCGCGUGAGUGAUGAAGGCCUUAGGGUUGUAAAGCUCUUUUACCCGGGAUGAUAAUGACAGUACCGGGAGAAUAAGCACCGGCUAACUCCGUG
rnacentral:rRNA from 1 species